UCUGCGGGAGAAAACAAACGAACGAAAUUUUCUGCCCCAGUUUCACUAGGAAAAUUUCGUUAAUUAUUCGCCAGGAAGUUCAUAAAAUUGAUGAAAGAGGAUAUGCAUGCUCAGUUCAGGGUUGGAGCCCUAAUACCGACUAGCUGGGGAAAGGUUCAGUUUAGGGUUUAAAACCCCAACGCCGAACAAAGGAAGAAUUCAGUUUAGGGUGUAAAACCCUAAUGCUGACUAAAGAAAGAUUCAAUUUAGGGUUUAAAACCCUAAUGCUGAUUAAAAGGAAAAUUCAGUUUAGGAUUUAAAACCCUAAUGCUGAUCACAUGGGAAAGCUCAGUUUAGGGUUUAAAACCCUAAUGCUGGCUGAAAGAAAAAAGUUCAGUUUAGGGUUUAAAACCCUAAUGCUGACUAAAAGGAAAAAGUUCAGUUUAGGGUUUAAAACCAUAAUGUUGACCAAAAGAAAAAUUCAGUUUAGGGUUUAAAACCCUAAUGCUGAUUGCAUGGAAAAGCUCAGUUUAGGGUUUAAAACCCUAAUGUUGGCCGAAUGGAAAAAGUUCAGUUUAGGGUUUAAAACCCUAAUGCUGACUAAAAGGAAAAUUAAGUUUAGGGUUUAAAACCCUAAUGCUGGCUGAAAGGGAAAAGUUCAGUUUAGGGUUUAAAACCCUAAUGCUGACUAAAAGGAAAAUUCAGUUUAGGGUUUAAAACCCAAAUGCUGAUUGCAUGGAAAAGCUCAGUUUAGGGUUUAAAACCCUAAUGCUGAUUGAAAGGAAAAAGUUCAGUUUAGGGUUUAAAACCCUAAUGCUGACUAAAAGGAAAAUUCAGUUUAGGGUUUAAAACCCUAAUGCUGAUUGCACGGGAAAAGCUCAGUUUAGGGUUUAAAACCCUAAUGCUGGCUGAAAAGAAAAAGUUCAGUUUAGGGUUUAAAACCCUAAUGCUGACUAAAAGGAAAAUUCAGUUUAGGGUUUAAAACCCUAAUGCUGAUUACAUGGAAAAAGCUCAGUUUAGGGUUUAAAACCCUAAUGCUGGCGGAAAGGAAAAAGUUCAGUUUAGGGUUUAAAACCCUAAUGCUGAUUGCAUGGAAAAGCUCAGUUUAGGGUUUAAAACCCUAAUGCUGGCUGAAAAGGAAAAAGUUCAGUUUAGGGUUUAAAACCCUAAUGCUGACUAAAAGGAAAAUUCAGUUUAGGGUUUAAAACCCUAAUGCUGAUUGCAUGGAAAAGCUCAGUUUAGGGGUUUAAAACCCUAAUGCUGGCUGAAAGAAAAAAGUUCAGUUUAGGGUUUAAAACCCUAAUGCUGACUAAAAGGAAAAUUCAGUUUAGGGUUUAAAACCCUAAUGCUGAUUAAAAGGAAAAUUCAGUUUAGGGUUUAAAACCCUAAUGCUGAUUGCACGGGAAAAGCUCAGUUUAGGGUUUAAAACCCUAAUGCUGGCUGAAAAGAAAAAGUUCAGUUUAGGGUUUAAAACCCUAAUGCUGACUAAAAGGAAAAUUCAGUUUAGGGUUUAAAACCCUAAUGCUGAUUGCACGGGAAAAGCUCAGUUUAGGGUUUAAAACCCUAAUGCUGGCUGAAUGGGAAAAGUUUAGUUUAGGGUUUAAAACCCUAAUGCUGACUAAAAGGAAAAUUCAGUUUAGGGUUUAAAACCCUAAUGCUGAUUGCAUGGAAAAAGCUCAGUUUAGGGUUUAAAACCCUAAUGCUGGCGGAAAGGAAAAGUUCAGUUUAGGGUUUAAAACCCUAAUGCUGACUAAAAGGAAAAUUCAGUUUAGGGUUUAAAACCCAAAUGCUGAUUGCAUGGAAAAGCUCAGUUUAGGGUUUAAAACCCUAAUGCUGAUUGAAAGGAAAAAGUUCAGUUUAGGGUUUAAAACCCUAAUGCUGACUAAAAGGAAAAUUCAGUUUAGGGUUUAAAACCUUAAUGCUGAUUGCAUGGAAAAGCUCAGUUUAGGGUUUAAAACCCUAAUGCUGGCUGAAUGGAAAAAGUUCAGUUUAGGGUUUAAAACCCUAAUGCUGACUAAAAGGAAAAUUAAGUUUAGGGUUUAAAACCCUAAUGCUGGCGGAAAGGAAAAGUUCAGUUUAGGGUUUAAAACCCUAAUGCUGAUUGCAUGGAAAAAGCUCAGUUUAGGGUUUAAAACCUUAAUGCUGGCUGAAAGGAAAAAGUUCAGUUUAGGGUUUAAAACCCUAAUGCUGAUUGCACGGGAAAAGCUCAGUUUAGGGUUUAAAACCCUAAUGCUGGCUGAAAAGGAAAAAGUUCAGUUUAGGGUUUAAAACCCUAAUGCUGACUGCAUGGAAAAAGCUCAGUUUAGGGUUUAAAACCCUAAUACUGGCUGAAAGGAAAAAGUUCAGUUUAGGGUUUAAAACCCUAAUGCUGACUGCAUGGAAAAAAGCUCAGUUUAGGGUUUAAAACCCUAAUGCUGGCGGAAAGGAAAAAGUUCAGUUUAGGGUUUAAAACCCUAAUGCUGACUAAAAGGAAAAUUCAGUUUAGAGUUUAAAACCCUAAUGCUGAUUGCAUGGAAAAAGCUCAGUUUAGGGUUUAAAACCCUAAUGUUGGCGGAAUGGAAAAAGUUCAGUUUAGGGUUUAAAACCCUAAUGCUGACUGCAUGGAAAAAGCUCAGUUUAGGGUUUAAAACCCUAAUGCUGGCUGAAAGGAAAAAGUUUAGUUUAGGGUUUAAAACCCUAAUGCUGACUGCAUGGAAAAAAGCUCAGUUUAGGGUUUAAAACCCUAAUGCUGGCGGAAAGGAAAAAGUUCAGUUAAGGGUUUAAAACCCUAAUGCUGACUAAAAGGAAAAUUCAGUUUAGGGUUUAAAACCCUAAUGCUGAUUGCAUGGAAAAAGCUCAGUUUAGGGUUUAAAACCCUAAUGCUGGCGGAAAGGAAAAAGUUCAGUUUAGGGUUUAAAACCCUAAUGCUGACUAAAAGGAAAAUUCAGUUUAGGGUUUAAAACCAUAAUGCUGAUUGCAUGAAAAAGCUCAGUUUAGGGUUUAAAACCCUAAUGCUGACUGCAUGAAAAAGCUCAGUUUAGGGUUUAAAACCCUAAUGUUGAUUAAAAGGAAAAUUCAGUUUAGGGGUUUAAAACCCUAAUGCUGAUUGCAUGGAAAAGCUCAGUUUAGGGGUUUAAAACCCUAAUGCUGGCUGAAUGGAAAAGUUCAGUUUAGGGUUUAAAACCCUAAUGCUGACUGCAUGGAAAAAGCUCAGUUUAGGGUUUAAAACCUUAAUGCUGGCUGAAAGGAAAAAGUUCAGUUUAGGGUUUAAAACCCUAAUGCUGACUGCAUGGAAAAAAGCUCAGUUUAGGGUUUAAAACCCUAAUGCUGGCGGAAAGGAAAAAGUUCAGUUUAGGGUUUAAAACCCUAAUGCUGACUAAAAGGAAAAUUCAGUUUAGGGUUUAAAACCCUAAUGUUGAUUGCAUGAAAAAGCUCAGUUUAGGGUUUAAAACCCUAAUGCUGACUAAAAGGAAAACUCAGUUUAGGGUUUAAAACCCUAAUGCUGAUUAAAAGGAAAAUUCAGUUUAGGGUUUAAAACCCUAAUGCUGAUUGCAUGGAAAAGCUCAGUUUAGGGUUUAAAACCCUAAUGCUAGCUGAAUGGAAAAGUUCAGUUUAGGGUUUAAAACCCUAAUGCUGACUGGCUGGGGACAAAAUUCGAGAACAACUACUGACUUCUUUUUUUUUUGAAUUUUCUUACUUUAGUACAAGAAAUAAAAAGGGAGUUUC
rnacentral:lncRNA from 1 species